GAACAAACAGAGUGAGCGAAGACAGGAUAGGCUAGAGCGCCGGAAGCCAGCCGACAUAUCAAACACGCUCCUAAGGAAGAGAGCCUUUGUGCUUGCAGUGGAUGAGCCACCCUUGGCAUCACUCCUCGUGUGUGUGACUCAGACAGAUUCUGCUUGUCUGAAGGCUUCCUGCAAGUCCUCAGAGUUGUCCAACCCGCCUUGGCUAGUGCUGGAGCCUGUGAGAAACGCUCAAAGCAAGUAGUGCACUGCCAGCAGCCUUGUUCUUCCCGUGCGGGAUGGACUGUGUGCACAGCAACUCAGCACUCCCUCUCACUGCACCCCCUUGCUGCUGUGUGGGGUUGAAUCUGUGAUGGCUGCUCCAAGCUUGACUGAGGGAGGUCCCCAUGGAUGUUUUGUGCAGAAGGUUAGUGCUCAUAGGCACUAGUUUCCUAGUGCUCAUCAUUACCUUGGCUUCUCCUACAUCUCCUGGACGGUCCUCCCCUCUACACACCCUUCAGAUCCACAGACCUGCUUAUCCAGUCUCCUGCUUGCUUCAGUGUUUGGCUGAGGUAAGUACAUUUUGUUCUCUCAGUCCUCCUCUGUUAGGAAGUUGGCUGGUUUUCAGAGUUUAGGGAUAGUUUGGGUGAAGGUUGUGGUAUUAUCUGAUGAGAGGCAAACCAACACCUCUGUACUAAAGGGGAA